AGUGAACGCUGGCGGUAGGCCUAACACAUGCAAGUCGAACGGCAGCACAGUAAGAGCUUGCUCUUACGGGUGGCGAGUGGCGGACGGGUGAGGAAUACAUCGGAAUCUACUUUUUCGUGGGGGAUAACGUAGGGAAACUUACGCUAAUACCGCAUACGACCUACGGGUGAAAGCAGGGGAUCUUCGGACCUUGCGCGAUUGAAUGAGCCGAUGUCGGAUUAGCUAGUUGGCGGGGUAAAGGCCCACCAAGGCGACGAUCCGUAGCUGGUCUGAGAGGAUGAUCAGCCACACUGGAACUGAGACACGGUCCAGACUCCUACGGGAGGCAGCAGUGGGGAAUAUUGGGCAAUGGGCGCAAGCCUGAUCCAGCCAUACCGCGUGGGUGAAGAAGGCCUUCGGGUUGUAAAGCCCUUUUGUUGGGAAAGAAAAGCAGCAGGUUAAUACCCCGCUGUUCUGACAGUACCCAAAGAAUAAGCACCGGCUAACUUCGUG
rnacentral:rRNA from 1 species